GGUGUGAAGGAAUCUACUUUUGUACAAGAUACAAAGCUGUUCUAUUUUUAACCUCAUGCUUCAUUAAACAUACUCGAAUGUUAUCAAUCCUAAACCUCAAGCACCACAACUCUGUCACAUUAGGAACUGAUUAAUGCAAUGCAAGUCAUUUACUGGUAGGAGAAAAACCAGCUGAAGGGCCAGGAUUACUCUAACGUCAAGGGUUAGCAUGUAACACAGCAGCAUCAGCAUCUAUGUUUACCUCAUACUGGUAAAUUGUGACCAAGUCGGACAAUCUUUCAGAAAGUAUCGCUCUGUUGUUUCAAACAAAACUCUCCUCGUGGGUUCAGCUCACAAACAAGCUUGGAAGAAAAAGCACCUGACAGCAGGCCUGCCAGUCUCUCUGUCCUGUGUGGAUAAGGGCCUCAUUGUGCCUCCAAGUUUAGGGGAGAACAAUGCUGUGAGGGGAGCACAGUGCGGCCAUUGUGUCCGUCUGUGAGACACUGGAUCCCAGCGCUGACACCAACGCCGCGCCUGCAGGAUUACACGGCUGGACGGAGGCGAGGGAGGAGAGGUAAUGUCCUGCCUAGAGGUCAUGACAUGUCCGCAAAUAACUACACGAAAUGAGUCACUGAGUGAGCCAGCAGCGAGCAGCCGACUGCGGACAGACCCAGAUCUGACUUUGCUGCCGCCUUCGACCUGAAGUCAGACCUUCGUGGAAGGUGGAGGUUCCUCCUCCAGCCAGGAGCAGAGCUUCCCCUCGCUUCUCUGCCGGUCCCCAUUGGGAUCCAACACCGACACCACGCUGCUGGAGGCCCAGGCCAUAUUGCUGGGCCUGCUGGAGUUACAGGAGGUACGGGAGAACCAGAACCAGGACUGCACGGGGCAGACUGUGAGAUCCUUUUGCAGCAAAAUGAGAGGUUUUCUAGGGGGACUCUGGUGCUCGGAAACACUACCGCUUUUGUCCACAGGGACCGCCAAAAUCAACACAACAUGAAAGCUCCUUCUAGUAGCUUUAAUACAGCAAAUGUAAUAUAUUCAAUGACUGAGGCUACUUAAACUGAUUAGAGACAAGAGGUUUCAUCACUGCUAAACAAUUUCCUGAAGGAAACCCUGAACAAUCACGCAUUUCUGUGAUUCUGACGUAUCCUCAGUAUAACUAACUAGCCUUCAGGUAUGAGUGAGAGUAGCUGUUUGGAUUUGAUACUGACACAUCCUCAGAAUACAAACCCCUGGGGUAAACAGGAAUAAACAAGGGAAUAAAAUCUCUUCUUUAAUCCUUCUCUGUACAGAGCUCGUGUUCUAUUGUUUGGAUUUCACAAUAAAUGUGAUCCCCUGUCAAUCAAUUAGCACCCAUGACAAAUUCACCAUAUUCAACCAAUUACAUGUUUCCGUGGACUGUAAGAGUGUUUUAGCAAUCUAAUCCUUUCCAGUAACCACAGGGGGGGGGGGGGGGUCUUUGUUUCAGACUAUUUAGCUCACUAAUUGGGUGUGUAAUCCUGUCUGUUUCUCUCCCACAGUACUUUCACGCCCAGGAAUCUGAUGACAUUUCCCAAAUUUAAUCUCUUUUCAUCUGCAUGUUCAGCGAGACUUCUUGCUGUACUGUCAGGGUUUUGGUGGACAUUUGUUUCUCAUUAAUGCAAACAUUAAUAUUAGAUAGUUUAGUCUAAAUAAUUAUAAUAGAAUUUUCCAGGUUUUUUCCCUUUGAAUAUUAUAUGUUCAGGGCUUUUAUUUUGAAAGGUGGGAAUGGAAGGAAUGGAUCUGGACUGCGCUGCCUUUGUCAAGGUUGAAAGGAGUAAUAAAGUUUGUCAUCUUGGUUCAUACUAUGGAGCCUCUGUGUUGUUGUUUCAUGAAUAUAGGCACAACUCAACUCGUUCCACAGAAAAGGAUUAGUUGCCUUUAUUCGCGGUGCAAAUAAAUGAUGCCGCUUUUUCGUAGCGUAAUAUUCGCGGUCUGACAACAGUUCAACCAUAUCGUCCAGCCCCCCCAAAAUAAGGCUCCAUGACCUGCUCAUUAGUUUUUCCUUUGUAAUAUACAAAUUAAUAAUACUAUGUUCAAACAGGAAAUGUGCAGUCAAAAAUACAAUGUAAUCACUCUGUGGAUUUGGACUUUGCGUGGGAAAAAAUGUGUCAAUUCUGAUAACAAAAGUUUAAGCAGUGGCUGAAUUUUUUUGGGACAUUUCUUAUCUGGAACUAUCAUCAGCAAGAGUCAAUAAUGCACAACCAAACACAAUUUCAAUGUGGACAAACUUACCUACCUCUACCUUUAAAGAUCUAAUCCUUAACCUAAAUAAGGAUGCUCUGUCUGUGUAGCACUGUCCUGUUGGUUGGUGGAGUAGUGAGAGGUGGGCAGGAUAGGGAUGGGUAGCUGGGUUAAACGAUCAAAAUAUAGACGGUAACCUGUUGUAUUGUCUGGAAUAUGUGGCUGCUGCAAUAAAGUGAUAAAAAA